rnacentral:rRNA from 1 species
AGUUGAUCCUGGCUCAGGACGAACGCUGGCGGCGUGCCUAAUGCAUGCAAGUCGCACGCACUCGCUUCGGCGGGUGAGUGGCGCACGGCUGAGUAACACGUGGGAACCCGCCCCCCGGUGGGGGAUAACGCGACGAAAGUCGCGCUAAUCCCGCAUACGUCCGCAGGGGGAAAGCGCUUCGGCGCGCCGGGGGAGGGGCCUGCGGCCCAUCAGGUCGUUGGUGGGGUAACGGCCUACCAAGCCGAUGACGGGUAGCUGGUCUGGGAGGAUGACCAGCCAGACUGGGACUGAGACACGGCCCAGACUCCUACGGGAGGCAGCAGCAAGGAAUUUUCGGCAAUGGGCGCAAGCCUGACCGAGCAACGCCGCGUGCGGAAUGACGGCCUUCGGGUUGUAAACCGCUUUUCGGGGGGACGAUGAUGACGGUACCCCCGGAACAAGCCCCGGCUAACUCUGUGCCAGCAGCCGCGGUAAGACAGAGGGGGCGAGCGUUGUCCGGAGUCACUGGGCGUAAAGCGCGCGCAGGCGGUCGCCAAAGUGUCGUGUGAAAGCCCCCGGCUCAACCGGGGGAGGCCAUGGCAAACUCGGCGACUGGAGCGGCGGAGAGGCCCCUCGAAUUGCCGGUGUAGCGGUGAAAUGCGUAGAGAUCGGCAGGAAGACCAAGGGGGAAGCCAGGGGGCUGGCCGCUGGCUGACGCUGAGGCGCGACAGCGUGGGGAGCGAACCGGAUUAGAUACCCGGGUAGUCCACGCCGUAAACAAUGACCACUCGGCGUGCGGCGACUAUUGACGUCGCGGUGCGCCUUAGCUCACGCGCUAAGUGGUCCGCCUGGGAACUACGAGCGCAAGCUUAAAACUCAA